rnacentral:rRNA from 1 species
AUUGAACGCUGGCGGCAUGCCUUACACAUGCAAGUCGAACGGCAGCACGGGUGCUUGCACCUGGUGGCGAGUGGCGAACGGGUGAGUAAUACAUCGGAACGUACCUGAUCGUGGGGGAUAACGCAGCGAAAGUUGCGCUAAUACCGCAUACGCCCUGAGGGGGAAAGCGGGGGACCGUAAGGCCUCGCGCUAUGAGAGCGGCCGAUGUCUGAUUAGCUUGUUGGUGAGGUAAAAGCUAACCAAGGCGAUGAUCAGUAGCUGGUCUGAGAGGACAAUCAGCCACACUGGGACUGAGACACGGCCCAGACUCCUACGGGAGGCAGCAGUGGGGAAUUUUGGACAAUGGGGGCAACCCUGAUCCAGCAAUGCCGCGUGAGUGAAGAAGGCCUUCGGGUUGUAAAGCUCUUUUGUCAGGGAAGAAACAGCAGCUCUAACACAGUCUGCGAAUGACGGUACCUGAAGAAUAAGCACCGGCUAACUACGUGCCAGCAGCCGCCGUAA